GCAACCUUGACCGAUGCCAAAGGGAUAUGGGAUGGUGAGGUUGCCGCAUGUCUCUCUGCAUCCAGGUUUCCCCAUCCCGGAUGCUCCGCUGCUCUUGAUGCUUGCUAGCAGCAGGGUGGCUGCAAAGAUUUGCCAUGGUGAACAAGCCGGGAAAUGUACUUGGUGACACAGGGCCAAGACAGUGAGUGGUACAUGAAAGGAACGAAGGUGAACUGAUUUUCCAUUACAGUGUUAGUAUAGUGGCCACUGAGAUUAAGGGAUAGGAUUAUUCCAUGGAUCGAUCCCUGGACUAAAUUCUGCUAUCUCGAUCGACUUGGAUGCAAGCAUACAUUAUCACCACAGGCUGGUCCUUAUACGAGGUUGCCGCAUGUUUCUCUGCAUACAGUCUUGGCCAUCCUGGCUGCGGUACCUCUUGAGGACUGAGAUCCGGUGCCUCGCCUUAAGCAAGGCACACAGCGCCUUGAGGCCUCGCAUCCACCCUCCACUUACAUCCAACGGACAGCAGUGCAAAAUGCGGGUCAGUCCCCCGAGUCAACGCCUCCAUCCUCACAUUGCGCGCAAGGCAAACGAGCAACGCGGGCGGUUCUUCCCGGCCAGCGCUUUGCCGCCGCCCGCCGGCGCCGUCCACCUCCUCCCUACUUGCUGCUCCUCCGCGCACCUCCGUUUGGUCGCUCCGCCUCUGCAGUUGCCCCUCCGUCUCCAUCCGACGGAUCGCGGCCGCCCCUCCGAUGGCCGCCGGCGAGCGCAUCCGACGCCCAGUUCUGCUCCCUCCAACGACCUUGCAGACCCUUCAAAACAGCCGCCGUCCUUGUUGUUGUUUUUCUGAAUUGGAACUAGCCAGAUGUUCUGUCGUUUGCGUUAAUUCAGUUUCUUUGUUCU